rnacentral:lncRNA from 1 species
GACAACAACGCAACAUUGCCAUUGUACUUAGCAGCAACUCCAGGAGAAAGAAAGGGGGAAAGUCGACCAUCACUCUCACCCGACCGGUAAAACUGGGCAUAGUAACUCGAAGGAUCAAAAGGUUGUUGAACCUACAAGAAAUGUAGCAAAUAUGAAAUUUCCAAUAAAUUUUAUAGGACAAUGAAGCUCAUUGGCAUGACCACCAUGACACUAUGAAGAAUGAAAUAGCCACUCUAAAUCAAUAAGGAGAUUCAUAUCUAAAAUUGUGAGACACUGGAGAUGUUACAAGUUAACCAUACAAAACUUGAGUUCAGCAUAUAAUAAAGCAUUAUGUAUGUUAGAUACUCUGAGGAUGUUACAAGUUAACCUUACAAAACUUAACAGAUCGGCAUAUAAUAAAGCAUUAUAUUGAGUGCUUACGACAAAGCUGGGAAGACGAGAAGCAUCGCGGCCUUGAGAAUCAGAGUUUUCAACAGCUGUAAUCUGACUCCCAACUACAGGGGAGAUAAAUCCAAAACUGUAACUUGAAGAAGUUUGGGGAACGGAGUUUGUGUGACCUCCGGAAGGUAAUACUGUCUCCUGCUUUAAAUCAUUGAACUCCUGAAUUGUGCUUGAUGGAAGUUCACCUCCACUGGUCGAUAAAUCCUCAGGCACACAAACAGGGGAUUGUGGAUGAUCAGGAGAAUCCACUUCUUCAGUACUUCUCAAGGCAUUGGGAUAACUGAAAGGAAAUCAUGUAAGUUUUGUAAAAAAAGGUUUUUACACCAAUUUCUCAUUCUUCACUAAUAAGAAAUAAUAUUACCCCCACGUAAUAACCCCCCCACAGAAAUUUUUUUUUCAUUCUAAUAUGAAAUACUUUCCACAUCUUACUAUGAUCACCAAAAUAACAGCAGAGAGAGAGAGAGCUAGAUGGAUCAUUAUAGCAUAUGGACUACCAGCACUAUUAACUUUUCUAAUACAAUAAUUUACUAGAAAAGAAAAAAAGAAAAGAAGUACUAGAAGGAAUUCUAACACACACACACACACACACAAAAAGAAGAAUAAAAAUAAAAAAUUAGAAUUUAAACCACGAUAUACAAUAUUUUUAAAUCAAAAACAGGGAAGUACUCUCGAUGCAUAUAAGAGACACUGGAAAUGAAGUUGCAAACAGACUUCUGUACAAAACGACAUCUUGAUACCCCUACUUAAUUCCCAAAUGAAUCGAAUAACAGUCAGAGGAGCAAAUAAAAAAGAGCUUUAAAAACCCAAAAAAAAAAACGAAACAAAAUUUGGUUCGAUAAAAGUAAAAUACUCAGCCAAUGACAUAGUUAAAAACAAAUUAAGAGCUGUAAUUGCCGACCUCGAAGCUUCAUCCUCUACAUUUUCAUCGCCAUCCACUGACGCUUCAGAAACGGGUGUAUGUUUCUGGUCACUCUCUUGACCGCUUGGAACAAUGGCAGAAACCCCAAAACCAAUGCCAAAACUUCCAAAGCUUAGCUUUGAUCGUUCAGAUUCAGGAACCUGGAUGUGGUUCGGAAGAAUAACAAGCUGGCUUUUUGACACAUGCAACUCUUCUAAUUUCUUCUGCAGUUUCAUAGUAGCCUCUUCCGAAUCAAGGACCCUCGAAACAGGCUCUAAAUGUUCAGUCACAUCAAUGGUAACGCCUGGAACCUCAGAUGCAGCAGCAGCCCCACUGACAGUUCUCGAUUGCUGUAUAGCAACGGAACUUGUCGUCUUUGGUUUCCAUUCCUUAUUAGAACUAGCUGUCAUGUAUGUAAACCACAU